rnacentral:rRNA from 1 species
CGCCUUGCCAGCCCGCUCAGAAACUUAAGGAAUUGACGGGGCCCGCACAAGCGGAGGAGCAUGUGGUUUAAUUCGAUGAUACGCGAGGAACCUUACCUGGGCUCGAACGUAAGAUGACUGUAGGUGAAAGCUUACAUCUCUUCGGAGCAUUUUACGAGGUGCUGCAUGGUUGUCGUCAGCUCGUGCCGUGAGGUGUCGGGUUAAGUCCCAUAACGAGCGCAACCCCUACCUUUAGUUGCCAUCAGGUUAAGCUGGGGACUCUAAAGGAACUGCCUACGCAAGUAGUGAGGAAGGCGGGGAUGACGUCAAAUCAGCACGGCCCUUACGUCCAGGGCUACACACGUGCUACAAUGGCCGAUACAGAGGGCAGCUACCUGGUGACAGGAUGCAAAUCUCCAAAGUCGGUCUCAGUUCGGAUCGGAGUCUGCAACCCGACUCCGUGAAGUUGGAUUCGCUAGUAAUCGCGCAUCAGCCAUGGCGCGGUGAAUACGUUCCCGGGCCUU